rnacentral:lncRNA from 1 species
GCACGAGGUGUCCUCUCACCAGCAGCAGCUGCCAUCUCCUGAUUCAGGUUUGGAAUGCAGUGUAAGUUUUGCAAAUUUGUAAACAGUAGCUGAGAAGUUACACUACAGACUACAUCGCUAUCAAGGACCAUCCUGGCAGCAGCCUUGUUUGUUCGCAGACUGCUUCUGUCUUCUUUAAAGACUCUGAUGUCCGAAAACAGUGGCCUGCAUGUUUUUGGGAGUUUAGGUCUAUGCUGAGUUUUACAGGAUUACUCAAACCAACCUCAAAGAUACCUUCUCUUUUUCGGAUAAAUACGCUAUCAAGUUUUAUGGAUCAUGUGGUGGGCGAUAUGGAGAGAUAAUAAGGACCGCCCUGGACCAACUGGACAAUCAA